rnacentral:rRNA from 1 species
AACGAACGCUGGCGGCAUGCCUAACACAUGCAAGUCGAACGAUGCUUUCGGGCAUAGUGGCGCACGGGUGCGUAACGCGUGGGAAUCUGCCCUUGGGUUCGGAAUAACAGUGAGAAAUUGCUGCUAAUACCGGAUGAUGUCUUCGGACCAAAGAUUUAUCGCCCAGGGAUGAGCCCGCGUAGGAUUAGCUAGUUGGUGGGUUAAUGGCCUACCAAGGCGACGAUCCUUAGCUGGUCUGAGAGGAUGAUCAGCCACACUGGGACUGAGACACGGCCCAGACUCCUACGGGAGGCAGCAGUGGGGAAUAUUGGACAAUGGGCGCAAGCCUGAUCCAGCAAUGCCGCGUGAGUGAUGAAGGCCUUAGGGUUGUAAAGCUCUUUUACCCGGGAUGAUAAUGACAGUACCGGGAGAAUAAGCUCCGGCUAACUCCGUG